rnacentral:rRNA from 1 species
GAUGAACGCUGACAGAAUGACUUACACAUGCAAGGUCGACUCGAGUCUUCGGACUUGGGUGGCGGACGGGUGAGUAACGCGUAAAGACUUGCCUCAUAGUCUGGGACAACAUUUGGAAACGGAUGCUAAUACCGGAUAUUAUGCUUUCUUCGCAUGGAGGAAGUAUGAAAGCUAUAUGCGCUAUGAGAGAGCUUUGCGGUCCCAUUAGCUAGUUGGUGAGGUAACGGCCCACCAAGGCGAUGAUGGGUAGCCGGCCUGAGAGGGUGAACGGCCACAAGGGGACUGAGACACGGCCCUUACUCCUACGGGAGGCAGCAGUGGGGAAUAUUGGACAAUGGACCAAAAGUCUGAUCCAGCAAUUCUGUGUGCACGAUGACGUUUUCGGAAUGUAAAGUGCUUUCAGUCGGGGAAGAAGCAAGUGACGGUACCGACAGAAGAAGCGACGGGCUAAAAUACGUGCCAGCAGCCGCGGGUAAAU